GACGAACGCUGGCGGCGUGCUUAACACAUGCAAGUCGAGCGGUAAGGCCCUUUCGGGGGUACGACGAGCGGCGAACGGGUGAGUAACACGUGGGUGACCUGCCCUCAGCUCUGGGAUAAGCCUGGGAAACUGGGUCUAAUACCGGAUAUGACUCCAUGACGCAUGUUGUGGGGUGGAAAGCCUUGUGCGGCUGAGGAUGGGCCCGCGGCCUAUCAGCUUGUUGGUGGGGUGANGGCCUACCAAGGCGACGACGGGUAGCCGGCCUGAGAGGGCGACCGGCCACACUGGGACUGAGACACGGCCCAGACUCCUACGGGAGGCAGCAGUGGGGAAUCUUGCGCAAUGGGCGAAAGCCUGACGCAGCGACGCCGCGUGA
rnacentral:rRNA from 1 species